rnacentral:sRNA from 1 species
AUCUAAGAACGCUGCCGAAGACAGUAGGUGCCGUAAGGCAUAAGGGUUAAAACGCCUACCGAGGACUAAGUAUUCUAUUAAGAUUACACAAGGUCUGAUUGUCAUGCAGUCAGGCUUUUUUAUUUUG